AAUGUAAAAUUGCGGACGGGCGCGAACAUCGCCAGAUGUCCGCCUGUUCGGCGAACCACGAAUGAGCAAAGUUCGCCGCAAAACAACCACCGGGAGAACCACCAGGCCAUCUCUAUUCUCCAUCUCCCCAUGUGACAGCCUGUCAGGCUAUAAAUGCAGGAAAGCAUUGACAAAAGCUCUGUAACCUAUAGUAGGACAUGUCUGAACCAGGACCUUUCUGGCAGGAUCAUCAGAUUUAAGAAUGUAAUUUAAGGACCUUUGACACUACUGUAUGUGUUUAAAAAAACAAAACAAACAAAAAAACAUACUGCACAACAAAGUUUUCAGAUGACCGAAAUUACUGCUCCUGAUGAGUGGCUAUUACUCCACGAAACGCGUCGAGCCUCACUAUCAAUUGAUGUCAUAUCACAGCAACCAUGAAGUCACCAUGGGUUAUAUUGAGAAGUUUGAGUCAUUAAUCAAUGCUAUUCCAAUGUAUUAUCUUAAUAUGUUCAACAUUUGGGUACACUACUGACAUAUAUGAGAAUCAUGGGUUACUAUGCACUUUACGCAACUAGUUUAUACCAUGUUUGAUAUGAUUUACCAAUCAUUUUAUACCAUACCUGGUAUUGUUUUAUGGCUAUACUAUGAACGUCGUUUUAUGUAUUAUACUCAAUGAUGCUACUAUUAAAUGUUGUGUUUACCUUAUUGAUUGACUCAUCCUGCCCCAGUGUUUUGUUUCAUAUAAAGUCCCACUCCCCCUUCCCCGCCCCUUC